GACGAACCGUGCGAACGUUGUUCGGAAUCACUGGGCUUAAAGGGCGCGUAGGCGGUCUGCCAAGUCUGGGGUGAAAUCCUCCGGCUCAACCGGAGAACGGCCUCGGAUACUGGCGGUCUCGAGGGAGGUAGGGGCGUGCGGAACUAAGGGUGGAGCGGUGAAAUGCGUUGAUAUCCUUAGGAACUCCGGUGGCGAAGGCGGCACGCUGGACCUUUUCUGACGCUGAGGCGCGAAAGCCAGGGGAGCAAACGGG
rnacentral:rRNA from 1 species